rnacentral:misc_RNA from 1 species
CUGAGGACUAAGUACAACAACAUGGAGCCGGAUGCUGUUGAUUUCUUUGGGGAAUGUAUGAAUAGUCCCCGAAAUGGUCGUACUCCGCUUGCAAAUGAGAUAUAUGAGCAAAUGGUUGCAGAGAAGGAUAGAGAGCUAGAAGAAGGAGAAGCACAAAAGUCACCCUCCAAGAUUGUUGCUAAUAGUCUCAGCCAGAUCAUCCGCUCAUCCACCUUCCUUCCAAACAUUGGUGUCCCUACAACGUCCAAGACUGGUCGAUCCACAUCGCUAGCUGCACAAGCACGCAUGCAAGCUCAGUUUGAGGAAAAACUCCAAGCUGAAAGAGAGGAAGCUGCUAGGAAGCAAGAAGAGUUGCAAGCACAACUACAAGCUCAACAGGCCGCACUUGAAGAAAACCAAAGUUUGCUGCGCCAGACCCAAGAGGAAGUGAAGGGGAUGCAUACCAAGUUUGAAGAGACCAAUGCACUACUACGAGCUGUCCUGAAACUUCAGAAAGAUUGA